rnacentral:rRNA from 1 species
AGUGAACGCUGGCGGUAGGCCUAACACAUGCAAGUCGAACGGCAGCACAGUAAGAGCUUGCUCUUACGGGUGGCGAGUGGCGGACGGGUGAGGAAUACAUCGGAAUCUACUUUUUCGUGGGGGAUAACGUAGGGAAACUUACGCUAAUACCGCAUACGACCUACGGGCGAAAGCAGGGGAUCUUCGGACCUUGCGCGAUUGAAUGAGCCGAUGUCGGAUUAGCUAGUUGGCGGGGUAAAGGCCCACCAAGGCGACGAUCCGUAGCUGGUCUGAGAGGAUGAUCAGCCACACUGGAACUGAGACACGGUCCAGACUCCUACGGGAGGCAGCAGUGGGGAAUAGUGGACAAUGGGCGCAAGCCUGAUCCAGCCAUACCGCGUGGGUGAAGAAGGCCUUCGGGUUGUAAAGCCCUUUUGUUGGGAAAGAAAAGCAGCAGGUUAAUACCCCGCUGUUCUGACGGUACCCAAAGAAUAAGCACCGGCUAACUUCGUG